rnacentral:misc_RNA from 1 species
GAUAAGCCUGGGCUCGCUUGAAAUGGAGUAGCGAGUUUGUAUGAAUGCAAACCUUGCCGUUCAUCGUUAUGGUUUCCUUCGAUGAGUAAGCGGUUGGUGGAACGUUUAUAAUAUUAGACUUGCUUCCAAUCGCGUUGUAAGGACGCAACUUUUUUAUUUCAUCUGGCCUCAAAUCAGGUAGGACUACCCGCUGAACUUAA